AACCUGUUCGUACAGGACCUGGAGGAGGUGGAGGUGGAGGUGGAGGUGGAGCUAAACCUGUUUGCACAUGACCUGGAGGAGGAGGAGGUGGAGGUGGAGGUGGAGCAGAACCUGUUUGUACAAGACCUGGAGGUGGUGGGGGUAAAGAACCUAAUUGUGUAGGACCUGAAGGAGGUGGAGGUGGAACUGAACUUGUUUGUGCAGGACCUAGAGGAGGUGGAGGUGGUGGUGGUGGUGGUGGGGCUGAACCU
rnacentral:sRNA from 1 species